GGGGACUGACGAUAUCAAACGACACAAUUCACCAUCUUUCACCUGAUGGCAACGCCAUUUGAUUAGGAGUCCAACUCUGACCCC
rnacentral:snoRNA from 1 species